GACAGAGGGUGCAAACGUUGUUCGGAAUUACUGGGCGUAAAGCGCGUGUAGGCGGCUUCGCAAGUCGGGUGUGAAAUCCCACGGCUCAACCGUGGAAGUGCAUUCGAAACUGCGAGGCUAGAGUCCUGGAGAGGAAGGUGGAAUGCUUGGUGUAGAGGUGAAAUUCGUAGAUAUCAAGCGGAACACCGGUGGCGAAGGCGGCAUUCUGGACCGAAACUGACGCUGAGGCGCGAAAGCCAGGGGAGCAAACGGG
rnacentral:rRNA from 1 species